UUCAAAGGAUCAAAGACUAAGAACGCCGCGUCCUGCGGCAACGUCUUCGUGAGGCUAGGCGCUGCAGCU
rnacentral:sRNA from 1 species